UAAGGAAUAUUGGUCGAUGGACGCAAGUCUGAGCCAGCCAUGCCGCGUGAAGGAUGAAGGUCCUCUGGAUUGUAAACUUCUUUUAUCUGGGACGAAAACGGGAUUUUUAUCUCAAUUGACGGUACCAGAGGAAUAAGCACCGGCUAACUCCGUGCCAGCAGCCGCGGUAAUACGGGGGGUGCGAGCGUUAUCCGGAUUUACUGGGUUUAAAGGGUGCGUAGGUGGGCUUAUAAGUCAGUGGUGAAAUCUCCGAGCUUAACUUGGAAACUGCCGUUGAUACUAUAGGUCUUGAAUUAUCUGGGGGUAAGCGGAAUAUGUCAUGUAGCGGUGAAAUGCUUAGAUAUGACAUAGAACACUAAUUGCGAAGGCAGCUUACUACAUAUAAAUUGACGCUGAGGCACGAAAGCGUGGGGAUCAAACA
rnacentral:rRNA from 1 species